GCUAACGCUGGCGGCGCGCCUAACCCCUGCAAGUCGAACGCACCCUUCGGGGUUAGUGGCAGACGGGUGAGUAACGCGUGGAUAAUGUGCCUCUUUGCUGGGGAUACCGUUCCGAAAGGAACGUUAAUACCGAAUGUGCUUGUUUGGCGGCAUCGUCGAGCAAGUAAACUGUUAGGGUGAAGAGAGCAGUCCGCGUUCUAUCAGCUAGUUGGUGAGGUAACGGCUCACCAAGGCUACGACGGAUAACUGGUCUGAGAGGAUGAUCAGUCACACUGGAACGGAGACACGGUCCAGAAUCCUACGGGAGGCAGCAGUGAGGAAUCUUGCACAAUGGGCGAAAGCCUGAUGCAGCGACGGCGCGUGAGGGAUGAAGGCCUUCGGGUUGUAAACCUCUGUCAGUAGGGAAGAAGAAUGACGGUACCUACUGAGGAAGCUUCGGCUAACUACGUG
rnacentral:rRNA from 1 species